rnacentral:rRNA from 1 species
GCCGCGGUAAUACGUAGGGUGCGAGCGUUAAUCGGAAUUACUGGGCGUAAAGCGUGCGCAGGCGGUUUUGUAAGUCAGACGUGAAAGCCCCGGGCUUAACCUGGGAAUUGCGUUUGAAACUGCAAGGCUAGAGUACCGCAGAGGGGGGUAGAAUUCCACGUGUAGCAGUGAAAUGCGUAGAUAUGUGGAGGAAUACCGAUGGCGAAGGCAGCCCCCUGGGCUAGUACUGACGCUCAUGCACGAAAGCGUGGGGAGCAAACAGGAUUAGAUACCCUGGUAGUCCACGCCCUAAACUAUGACAACUAGUUGUUGGGGAUUAACAUCCUUAGUAACGCACGCUAACGCGUGAAGUUGUCCGCCUGGGGAGUACGGUCGCAAGAUUAAAACUCAAAUGAAUUGACGG